AUUGAACGCUGGCGGCAGGCCUAACACAUGCAAGUCGAACGAGUGGCGUACGGGUGGGCUAUGUCUGUGAAACUGCCUGAUGGAGGGGGAUAACUACUGGAAACGGUAGCUAAUACCGCCUACAAGCAGAUGGGCCCAGAUGGGAUUUGCUGGUUGGUGGGGUAACGGCUCACCAAGGCGACGAACCCUAGCUGGUCUGAGAGGAUGAACAGCCCCACUGGAACUGAGACACGGUCCAGACUCCUACGUGAGGCAGCAGUGGGGAAUAUUGCACAAUGGGCGAAAGCCUGAUGCAGCCAUGCCGCGUGUAUGAAGAAGGCCUUCGGGUUGUAAAGUACUUUCAGCGGGGAGGCGUUACCCGCAGAAGAAGCACCGGCUAACUCCGUGCCAGCAGCCGCGGUAAUAC
rnacentral:rRNA from 1 species